CGUCUCCAUCGUAUUUCAGGUGCCAAAGACGGUGCAGUGCUGAAGCUGAAGAUGUUUUUGCUGAUUUAGUCCUUUCAGAAAGAGCUCUUCACCUGUGAAGGACACACAAAGAACAGUUUUGUAUUUUCUCGAUCUACUUUUUUUAUUUUUAAUAAACUUUUAGUGCAACCAUUUUAGAUUUACAGAAAGGUUGCAAAGAUAGCGCAGAGAGUUCUCAUAUAUCCUGUAACCAGUUUCCCGGUUGGUUCAACAUCUAACAUUACUACGGUUCCCAUCCAGGGUACCACGUUUUUGAAUGGCCUUGACAAUUUCAGGAGUACUGAUCAGAGCUGGAAUCUACUCCCGGUGAGGACGCUGUGAGCAUUGUUGAAAUGACAGCAGAGGAUUUAGACUAUUAUAUAAACUUAGUUGAUAAACCAGAAGCAGGGUU